rnacentral:rRNA from 1 species
UGGGGAAUCUUGGACAAUGGGGGCAACCCUGAUCCAGCCAUGCCGCGUGAGUGAAGAAGGUCUUCGGAUCGUAAAGCUCUUUCAACGGUGAAGAUAAUGACGGUAGCAGGUAAAGAAACCCCGGCUAACUCCGUGCCAGCAGCCGCGGUAAUACGGAGGGGGUUAGCGUUGUUCGGAAUUACUGGGCGUAAAGCGCACGUAGGCGGACCAGAAAGUUGGGGGUGAAAUCCCGGGGGCUCAACCCCGGAACUGCCUCCAAAACUAUUGGUCUAGAGUUCGAGAGAGGUGAGUGGAAUUCCAAGUGUAGAGGUGAAAUUCGUAGAUAUUUGGAGGAACACCAGUGGCGAAGGCGGCUCACUGGCUCGAUACUGACGCUGAGGUGCGAAAGUGUGGGGAGCAAACAGGAUUAGAUACCCUGGUAGUCCACACCGUAAAACGAUGAAUGCCAGUCGUCGGGUAGCAUGCUAUUCGGUGACACACCUAACGGAUUAAGCAUUCC